AUACGGAGGAUGCGAGCGUUAUCCGGAUUUAUUGGGUUUAAAGGGAGCGCAGGCGGCACUUCAAGCGUGACGUUAAAUUUCGGGGCUCACCCCCGUUUUGCGUCGCGAACUGUUGUGCUUGAGUAGGCGGCAGGGAGGCGGAAUUCGCGGUGUAGCGGUGAAAUGCUUAGAUAUCACUCAGAACACCGAUUGCGAAGGCAUCUGACGAAUCCGUCACUGACGCUGAGGCACGAAAGCGUGGGGAUAGAACAGGAUUAGAUACCCUGGUAUUCCACGCCGUAAACGAUGAUGACUAACCGUCGGCGAUAGACAGCCGGUGGCCAAGCGAAAGCGAUAAGUCAUCCACCUGGGGAGUACGUCGGCAACGAUGAAACUCAAAGGAAUUGACGGGG
rnacentral:rRNA from 1 species